rnacentral:lncRNA from 1 species
CAGGAAGUGAGGAGGGGUCUGGCAGGGAAGGGAGGCCUGGGGCGGGGCAGAGGGCAGGGAGGGGAAGGGUCCUGACCUCUGAUCUCCCCCCCAGAAUGUGACCCUGGCCAUGGCCUUGUUCACCAUCCUGACCUCCAUCUAUUUCUUCAACAAGGCUCAGCAGUGAGAAGACACAGGACCUCCCCGCACAAGAGCCCUGCCUCUCCCUCUACCAUCGCUCUGAGGCCAAAUAAAUGUAACUGAAUCCGCACAUCCUGCUCUGCC